CCAACCACUCAGAGCAACGUUCGAUCGUGGGGUCAGGUUGGCUUUAUAAUAAAUACCGGCAUCCAGAGAGCGUCUUUCCGAUUCUAYAGUUCGUGUGUCAAGUUGUUUCAUUUGUGAGCAAAACUCUGAAAAUGCCUUCUCCUUGUGAUUCCUGCAAAGAAACCUGCGGCGACGGGCAGUCAAACUGCGGCAAAGACUGCAAAUGUGGUGACGACUGCAAGUGCUCCGCUGACGGCAAAGACUGCGGGUGCGCCGACGGUGGACAGGCCUGCGAAAGCACCGACUAAAUCCAAGUUCCUUUUUUUUAUUUAUAUUUUUUGUAACGUUUUAUCGUUUUAUUAACGCUUAUUGUAUUUAUUGCUGGUGUUGUGGAUCAGGCUAAUAAUGCGCAUGAAAUUUCAAGUUUUUAUUACAGUUUUUAGGAAAUAAAAUACAUUUCACUCAU